GGAUAAAAUGUCCGUUGAACUUCCGUUAGGCGUCCCUUUUGUACGGUACUCGUCCGUUUCGUUUCCGUUUUGUAUCCGUUACGUGUCCGUUAUACAUCCGUUGAAGGUCUGGAAGAUAAAUUCACCAAUGGACUUCUACUGGACGUUUAACGGAUAAAACGGAUGUUGAACGGAUGAGAAACGGACUUCUACCGGACGUAUAACGGAUAAAGCGGAUGAUGAACGGAUCUGAAACGGAUAAAUGCCAAUUGAAAAUUUCGCGUCAGAAAUGCCAAUUAUUGGUAUGUCAGAUUUCUUAAGGUUCAUGAAUUCUUAUUAUUCAUAAUCGAUCUUAGAGUAUAGGCACGUCUUCACAAUCAAGCAGUUCUUAUUCAGGCCAAACACUGCCCUUUGGCGGAAUUUUGAAGAACAAACAA
rnacentral:lncRNA from 1 species